AUGAUUGUAUUCAAAACACACAGAAAGGAGCAAGGCAGACAGCAAAUGAAUGGGAAAGGAAUCAUUUCCAACCCAGGGACAGACUGCAAGUGACAGUGCCGUAAGGAACAGACGUUUGUUCCCUGCUGGCCACACUUCCGCCUCCUCCCCAUUCAUUCAAUGCCUGGCGCUGGCGCUGCACCCCUCACCCCAUGGCACACUGCUCUGAACACUUAUCUGAGGAAAGCAGCUGGGGAAGGCCUGUGACCGCAGGGUGCUGCAAACUCCUCAAUCCCUCUCAUCAGUGGAAUUCACCUCUGCUAAACUCCAACCAGCAGCCAGUGCUCCUGGGAUGGAAACUGUUGUGUCCUUCAGGAGCCUGAUGGAAAAAACCUGAGAUCAAGAGAUGGACUUACAAAAGAUAAGAAUGAAUCAGCAUUACAUGGAUACGUCAUUUCCUACAGGAUAACUGCUUCACCCAUUGGAAAAAAUAAGAACUUACACAGUGGAUGAGACAGAGGUCAUUAAGAAAAAACUGCAUCCAUUCUGCAAUGACCUAAACAACAGAAAGCAGCUGUGAAGAAGUGUAUUCUGUACUUUUCUCUAACAGAAAUCCUCUGCAACACUUUCUGAAGUAACAGCUAGGCACUAGUGUUCAUCCCACUCCUUCUCUAGGUUCCUAGUUUGAAGCCAUGAAUCUUAUUCACAAAUACACUGGAUACUUGAAACUGUAAUUGAAGGUAUUGGGAUUUCUGUUUUGAGCAUAUUAUUUGCUACACGAUGCUAAUACUCUGAAAAAAUCUCAGAACCCUAUACUGAGCACACCAACAUAAAUAGACAUUUUUUCCUCUGUGACUCAAUUCCUCUCCCACAAGAAAGCUGUAAUUUUUGAUGUGCAUGUCACGUGACACUGAAUGGCAUUAGUGUCCAUUAGGAAAUUAGGCACCCUGUCUUCAGGAAAUGCUUUCACCAUCAUGAAGUAAUAUGUGGCAGAGGGCCACGUUCAGGCAAGGAGGAACAGAGAUAUUAAAUAACAGCUCUGCACAUGAGUGUGGCUAAACUUGCCACAAACCAGUUGGGAGCACUACAACUAAAAACAGAUUUUGAUUAUGCUUAGUACAUAAUUCGACCAAGACAAGACCACAGAAGUGAUCAGUUGGUAAUUUAAAUUUUUGAAUGCCUAUAUUUGUUAUUGAAUACUGUUUUUAUUAUAAUAUCCCAUAAAUCAGGCACAGAUUCCAUUUCCUGCCAUUACAGUGACACUCAAUGGGGACAGUAAAGUUUUCUAACUUACAGAAAUGCAUGAUACCACACCUCAGGUGAGGAGCUCACAUGAAAGUACUCCUCUCUAGACCUAGAGCACAAGGCACAAUCUUUUCCUGAUAGGUGAUAAGAGCAGCAAAAAGCAAAAUGCUGUCUUGUGACAAACCCUAGACCAAUUAAUAACAACCGCUUGGCCUACCAACUCUGCCAUUUAAUAAGAUGCAAUUUAAGUCAACUCUCACUGUAUUCAUUCUUUGAGAAAGAAUAUAUGCCACCUUUAUGCCAACUUGGAAAAAAAAAAGACUCCAAACCACCAACUACCAUUGCAGUGUUUGAGUCCAUGAGUGAAGGGCUGACAGAUUUCUGUCUAAUUAAGUUUCUGGAAACAGAAGUGGCAAUGUUAUCCUCCAGCAAUAUUCCUUUUUCUUCAGCAUAACCUCCUGAGAAUAAGCCCAAGGUAAGCAAGAGCAAAUCCACGAAUUUUCCAUGUGGUACCUUAAACCCACUUGUUAUUUCAGUGACAUUUACAUCCCUGCAUUGUGCCUAGUUUAUUCCUAUCUGGGUUUCAGAAGGUGGCCAUUAUUUGCAUUGCUUGAAACUGUUCUCAUCACACAGUCAGCACAAACAGGUUUAGACAAAAUAAAGUUUACUACGAGUGCAGGAGAAUUUAGCUUUGAAUACAUUUCAGAUGCUAUCCCUGCUUUGUUUAGAACAAAGCUUUGGAAUUUCAUCAUGUUAUUUUAUCUGUUAAGAACAGCUGUAAAGAAGCCUAUGCAGGAUUCUUUCUGUCCUUCCUGCUCUCCUUCCCUUAUGAUUUUCUCCCACAACACAGCAAAACACAGUAGCAAGGAUGACUGAGUACAGGCAAGUUGGAAUAGCCUUGGAGAUUGCCAAGUUGUAUUAGAAUCAUAGAAUGAUUAAGGUUAGAAAAGACCUCUAAAGGUCACCAAGCCCAAUCCACCCCCAAUGCCCUCUAUCCAUGUCCCUCAGUGCCAUGUCUCCACAAUUCUGGAACACCUCCAGGGACAGUGACUCCACCACCUCUCUGGGCAGCCUGUGCCAGUGCAUCACCGCUCUGAGAAGAUAUUGUUCCUAAUAUCCAACCUGAAACUCCCUUGGUGCAACUUAAGGCCAUUCCUUCUCAUCCUAUUGCUGUUACCUAGGAGCAGAGAUUGACCCUCACUUCACCACAACCUCCUUCCAGGGUACUGCAGAGAGCAAGGUUUCCCCUGAACCUCCUCUUCUGCAGAUUGAAGAACUCCAGUUCCCUUGGCCACUCCUCAUAAGACUUGUGCUCCAGAUCCUAUUGUAUUACUGUACUCAGGUAAAUAAGUAGGUGAGGAAAAACAGCCAUUUUGAUAAAGCAAAAGGGAGAUGGCUUCUAAAAGGGAAAUAUUUCAGCCAAAAAGCAAGCAAUCUACCAAAGCCAACACUUCCUCUUCACUGUUUGCAUGCUACAGUGCACACACAAAAGAAUUGCAAACAAUCUUUAAGAAACUAGGCUCAGGAGCUUGCAAAUCUGAGAUAAACGACUUGAGAGAGGGUAAAACUAGAGAGAAGGCUCUUAACACCCAGAUCUCAUCAUGACACAGACGGAGAUUUAAAGCUUCUCAGCAUUUAUUUAUUUUCUGUUUCCAUAAGGUAUUUGUUCAAGUGUUUAGCACAUAUUUGCAGUUUUAUUCUAAAAUCAUGCAAGAAUUUUAAUGUGUGAGAAUCUCUGGAAAAUAUUCUCAUACUGAAUAUGAAACUGUUUACAGAAGAGUCUACAUUCAGCCAUUUUGAGAUUAGUCAGAAAGUUUAAUAACUAUGACUGAAAUGCAAGCACAUGCUGUCUGAUUAAUUCCAUCAAGAGAGCAAACACCAAGGACUGCUCAGGAGAACAAAUUGCUCAGCACAUGCUAUAAAGCAAUGUGAUCUUUCACAGAAUUCAGGAUCUGGAACUGUCUGUCAGGAACAGACAAUUUAGGAACAGGUUCAGGAACACACGCAGCACUAGCCAGCAAAAUAUAUGUAAUGCACAGAUUAGGGUUGAGUCAUGACCUUUGCACAUAGAUAGAAAAUUGGAUGUGAAAUAGACAUGGAAACAUCAGGAAAUAUGAUCUAAUUAGCUACAGAGAUUUUCCUCAUCAUCACACAAAAAAAGGAAGCAGAGCCACCCAUCCAAGAUAAGCAUUGGCAUGAUAGUCUAACCACAUGAACAACAUAAACUAUUGAAAAAAAGCCUUUCACUGGCCUAAAUGUCAGUUCUUAUCAGUUCUAGAGGUCUUAUCAGCCAGCACUACUGGAUAACAUUGGUACUUCCCUGUACACUGUCAAAAUAAGCAGAACACAUCUUACUAUUAAGCUUAGAGUGGGAUCAUAGCAACAUGACAAAAGUGGUCAUCUGCUUCACAAGACUCAGCACCACACAUAAUGAGCUACAAUGGUUCAUACCUGCACCGCAAAUUAGCAAAAUCCACAUUAAAUGUUCCUACAUGGACAUUGAAACCAAGAACCAAAGCACAUUCCAGAAGAGUAGAGCUGACUACAUGGAUUUCGGUUGGGAGGUUUGAGAAAAGAAACCUUGCUAAUAGUAUAACAGACAGAAUUUGUUGGAGUGCUGACAGGCUACAACAAAGCAUCAGAACAGUAUUUGAGUCUGGCAUCAAUGACUUCCAAGGACAACUAUUAGUGACCAGGUUGCGCUCUGCUUUUGGACUGCCCUAACCCAAAUUCCUGUAGACUUGGCCUUCUUCUUUUGAAUUUGAAAGUAAACCAUCGCUAUGAAAGAAGUAGUGCAUUUUAGUCAAAAGUUCAAAGGACAAUGAAACAUAAAAUAACAUUGGAGAAUAAGCUUGUUAGCAUCAAACCCUUCAAUUCACACCAAGGACUUUCUUAGAAGCAUGCAUGCAUCAGUACUUCGAAAAUCUACACUUCUAAAGUUACAAAUUUAAGAGGCACCCAAGCAAAUACACUGCCCUCCCUUCCCCUUCAUGGUAUUUUGUUGGGUACAGCAUCUCACUGCAUUUCUUAAAUACCAUUCAGAACGACAUCACUGCAAUUCAUAGCUUGUAUUUAACAGAGGCUCUCCUAGUGAGAAGAUUGAAUUACUUUUCCGAGUCAGAGCUUUCUAACUUGCCCCUUAUAACCUUGCUGUUCUCCUUUCCUACCUAGUCUCAAGUGUAGCAUUCUGAUAGCACAGUUGUGAGCUCAGGCUGAUUGAUCCAAACAUUAUGUCUGACAAACUUAAAAGUUAUACAAAUCUAGACAAUGAUAAUUAAAUCAGACAUCGCAUCUGUGUUCCUAUAACUUGUACCCCAAACUUUUUUUCCCCAAGAAAAUUUACAGUAGUUUAACAGUAUGGACCAAAUUCUGUUAUAUAGCUAGGUAAGAAAGGAAAAACUUAACAAUACCAAGGUGAGUAGGAUCACCUAGGUCUCUCAUCUUACUUUGAAAUCAGUCUCAAGAGGAUAUGAAAUAGAGCAAAGACAUAUCAGGUGUAACAGAGCAAGUAUCAGUAGCAUAUUGAACAAAGACCAAGAGCUGCUCUAUUAAGUCUUCUUGGUCAAAAAUAGUGGAACUGGCUUGCUUACCCAAACACACCACUUCUGGUCCAAUUGUUGGAAACAGUUGAUGUUGUCUACUAAAGCACAUGGAGAUGAACCAGAGGAAAAAAGUGACUGUACUUAAAUAAGCCUUCAAUAACAUAGAAUAAAUUCUGGCUGGAUGUUUCAGUUUCUGAGGGAUGUCUGCUUUUUUUUUUUUUUGCAGAGCUGAGGGGGAAAUUAUAAAACAUGAAAAUACUAUUGCUUGUGACUAGCUGCACAUAGACUCAUAGGAUAAUCUAGGAUGGAAAUGAUCUGUAAGAUCAUGAAGUCCAGUCAUUACAUAAAACUGACAAGUCCACUCCUACACCAUGUCCCUAAGCACCACAUCCACACAUCUCUUAAACAUCAACAGGGAUGGUGAUUCUACCACUUCCCUGGGCAGCCCAAGCCAAUGCCUAAUCACUCUUUCCAUGAACAAAUUCUGACAUUAUACUUCCUCUGUGACUCCCCUCCUCCUAGCUAAAAGAGUGCAUCUAGCUUGCUACAGAAUUUUAUAAGCCGCAUCUUUGAAGAUCUCAUCAUGCAAACACCUUCUCUAGUCACAGAAUGUCUCUCCAGCAUCCUUCUGCCAAGAGCCAGCAUUCUAGGGUAAACAUCUGUGGUUGAAGGCUGAGUAUCAUGGUAGUCUGUGCUCACAUGGACUACCAUUAUAUAUACACUACUCAUUAUUUUAACUAAAAGCUGUCCAACACUAAAGCAUUUUAUAGAUUACUUCAUAUCCAGAAGUACAAACAAAUGCACUGAAUUCAACAAGAGUGUACACCCGUAGCUUAGCAGCAUUCUCUUUUACAUUGAAGGCUCUCUGUUUCAAGUAAAAGCAAGGCUGCCUCCUGAUUGUCACUAUUCAUCAGUUCCCUUUUCCCUGGACAGCUUAGGAGCUAGGAUGAUUUAUUGUGAAAUCCUUUCUCAGCCUUGCCAUUAAACAUCAUCUCUUCUGUAAUAAACAUUCAAAUCCCCAGGGUCUGUACUACAGAAGUCUUGACGCAUUAUUCUUCUGACAUGUACUAGAACAUAAAUAAUUGCACAAGUGAGUCCGCAAACUGAUUUGACUAAAUACUGGGCUAACUAUUUCAAUAUCAGCUGAACAUAUAAGCAGGAAAACAAUAUUAGAACUCAUGUGCCACAGUUUAGUAGCAGUGCUAUUUACACAAAACAGUGCUGGAAAGUAAAGAGCAAUCAGUUACACUGGAAUAAGCAAAUCAUAGAAUAUCUGAGUUGGAAGGGACCCACAAGGAUCAUCGAGUCCAGCUCCUGUCUCCGCACAAGACUAACUAAAAAUUAAACUGUAUCAAAGCAGAAGCUAUGUGUGUAUGAGAGGUACCAAAGUCAAGGCCAGAUUCUUGACAAGUGCAAGGGAGGGAUUUUGGAUUACACCAGUUAAAGAAAACAUGAUUCAUAGACUACAUAGGCUAAUGCUUUGUGAGAAGCUGACUCAAGUCUGCAUUCUUUAUGAAACAUGCAGCUAGUCUGAACUGCCAUGGAGUUACUUCUUGAUUUAAAUACACAGUACAGUAAAGCCAGGGGAGCAAAUAACUUAGAGAAAGAACAUUUCAAAUACUCUUCAGUGCAUCAAGAUGGAUGAUCAUCAUAUCAUACAGCCUCUCAGGCAACUGGAGCCACUCUCUGCAUUUUCCUUCUCAAUGGGGAAGAGGAAAAUAGAGUUAUUUGAACUCACUCUGAUGUAUUGUCUUAAUCCUGGCUUUGCUUGCAGAGUAUAGAUAAUCAAAAUCCUUCUGUUUCAGAUCAGGAAGGAUCUCUUCCCCCAUAUGCAUGGAAAUAAAUCAAAAUUCAGACCCUCUUUGUGUAUCUAUAGGUUUUUUGUAGCUUAUUAAGGUGGUCAAGUACUUCCACAGACUUCUGAAUUAUCAAGUGAGUUCAAAGCUUCUCUACUUUACUCCAAAAAGCUAAGAUAACAAAAAUCAUGCGAUAUCCCAUCUUGAAAGGAACCCACAAGGAUCAUGGAGUCUAACUCCUGGCUCCAAGCUAUACCAUCCAAACCCAAUGGGUGAGAGCAGUGUUCCAAUGUUCCCUGAGCUCCAGCAACUCAGGGCCAUGCCCACCACCUUCUGGGGGCAGAGCUUUUCCCUGGCCUUCCUCUGUCCCAGGUCCAUGCCAUUUCCUUGGGCCCUGUUGUGCCCCCAGAAGGCAGAGUUCAGCGCUGGCCCUCUGCUUCCCCCCCACAUUUCACACAUUCAUAAAGGUCACCCACGCACAUCAGCAAAGUUCAGACAGUGUUCUCUUCCUCCAGGUACUCACAAUAGGAGCUUUUAUUGUUGGCUCCAGCUGGCAGAGCAAUGCAUGCUCCAUACAAAUUACUUAAUGUUUGGGAAACACUCAAAGCCUAAGGAUACUAAUGCCAGGCAAGACCCUGGAAAAAAAACAAUGGCACUGUUUCCCCACAAUGGUGAGCUCCUAUUAUUGCUCCAGGCCCAAAAGCAGCUUGUUUCAGCCAGUUUCUGAAAGAGUUUCUUGGCAGCACACAAAAUUGACUAACAUUGACCAUCUUUUCCAGAUGCCCCUUGCCAAAGCCUCAUAAAGGGUGUGUCUUCCUGCCAGAUUCAGAGCACAGCAGGCUCAAUGAUUUAGUUCAACUGUAACUUCAAGCUGAAACCUUACAGUGAGACUAAGGGAGAGUCAGAGCCUCUGAGUUGUAGGGCAAAUAAUGGUAAAAUCAUAACAGAUCAGCCUACAAAAUACAUAACUGCAUUUUAUAUUUCACAUUUUUAUAUCUGUCUUUGCUGUCUAAUAUGUUGCUUUCAGCAGUGUUGGCUACCUCUAGAUGCCCUCGUGCAGCUGUGCUCUUAUCUCAGUUACAAAUUCUCCAAAUCCAGCACACUCUCUCACAGUACAUCUGUUUUUUCUGGCUAAUCAACAAGAGCAGGGCCUCAAUGCAGGCCCAGGCAUUGUUUAAUUAAGAAAUUAAGAUUUUCACUCCAUUUUACAAUUUCAGUCCUCCAGAACAGAAAAUACGUCUUGUUAUUGACAGCUUCUGCACUAUAACAUCAAGAUACUGGGAUUCUCUUUUUCAGUGCCAAUAUCAAAAUGCAUUUAUAAAAUCUCCUGGGAAUGGGAGAGCAGAAGGGAGACAAAUCUUGACCAACUAUUCAUUGGCCUUUCAUCCCCCUCAGAAGUAAUGGUUCCUUUGAGAACACCACAUUCCCUUCUUCCAAAAGAUCUUUACAGCUCCCUCCUCAGAACACAUUACAGGGAUUAUUCCAUGUCAGAUCAAGUGUGGCAAAGUGCUGCUGUGUACAGCAAAAGCUUUUGCUGUAACAGACAAAAACUAGAGUUGUUUCCACCAUUAUGUUGAAAGAGUAAGUCACAGAAUCAAAUUGAUAUGAGCUAUCACUCCGGCUAUUUAAAAGCACAGUGGCACCUCAGAAAGGGAGUUCUGCCUUCCUGAGGAUACAAGAGCAGAUGAUAUAAAUUAAAACCAAAGCUACUCAAGGAACUCAUUUUGCAGUUUGCUUGGUAAACACAAAUAAUGUAAUUUCAAAUUAAUCUGAAAUAUUCUUAAUAUUUGGGGAUUAAGAAAAUUAUUCCAGAAUACACUGUAUAGGAAGAAUAGAGGCUAUGCAGUUGCCUCUGACCAGUUUUAAGAUAACUCAAGAAAGGUAUUAAUCAUAAGCCAGUAAGCAAGAAAGGA